rnacentral:lncRNA from 1 species
GUUGAAACUUUUCAAGAAAUAAGUGUUCUUUUACAGUUUCUUUUAUCCUUAAUUCUUUAGUCUGUCUUCCACUCACUGACAUGGUUUUUGUAGUGGAAUUAUCUUCAGUGAUAAAAUUCUGCCAAGAUAGUCAUUGAAAAUAAAUAGACCCGCUUUAUUCGACUUUUAUACAAACCACAAAUCUCUUUUAAGAUAUCCAGGGUUUCCAGAAUGAGUGGAAGAAUAGCCAAAUGACAUCUGUCUGCUUUGUUUUUUAUUGAUUAGAAACAGACCAUUCAACGGGCGUUUAUUGUACCUGUUAGUGCAUGUUCUCUUUUGUACAGUAAGUUUAUGACCAUCAAUUGUUAUCAGUUGACAUAUGUGGCAUCAGGGCCUUCAUAGCCACCUCUCCAACCAUUGUUCCUAUGAAAUUCUGCUUUGGUUCCACAGUAGGAACUUUAGUUGUUUUUCAUCAACCUCACAGCCACUAUAGCCAGGCACCCACCUGCUUAAGGGCUGCCCGCCCUCCCCAUCUCCAACUUCCCUGCCUUUGUGGGUUCUGGGUCAGUAAAAUGAAUUACUUCUGCUGGGUCACAGCUGCUUUCUCUUUGCUGUUUUCAGUAUUUCUAUCCCCUUCCUUUGUGCCUUUGGCUGUUCAGACUUUUUAACUCUACAAUUAAAAUUACCCCAAUUACAACCAACUAAGACAAUCUUAACAGAAUUUGAUGAAAUUAAAGCAAUUUAAAUUGUGAAUGAGGUGAACUGCCUUAGGGAUUUUUAAAAUCUGUGAAUUCUGAAUAGUAAUUAUUGGGAAGUGGCAGAGAAUUUACAAUACUCCUGAAUACUCUAAUCCCUAUCCUCGGUCUUUCCAGUAGCAUGACUAUCUUAGGUACCAGGUGCUGUGGACCAAU